CAGUGUCACAACAUCAGCGUUGACUUCAGCGUACACAAAUGGAGCAUCGUACUUCAGCGUCAGUUCACCCUCUUUGAUGCCUGAUACAGCCCCAGUGAUUUGUCUGAGCACUUUCAAGUCUCUGUUGGAUUCUACCUGUUGGUCUGUCUACCCGCCGGUCUGUCUACCCGCCUGUUUGAAUUCUGUCUGUGACCUGUCUUUUGGAUUAUCUGCCUGUCUGUGCCUUUUGGGCUGCUUCUCAGACCUGACCUUUGCCUGCUUGUGGAUUACUCUUUGGACUGUGUGUCUGGUUUGUCAGCCUUUUGCCAUUUUCAGUUUUGUGACCGAGUGUCUGCCUUUUGUUCAGUUUCCACCGUAUGACGAAGUUUUUUGUUGAGUUUUCUUCUGUUGAAUAAACUUUUUGAACUAA